UCUCCGUUGGUGAACCAGCGGAGGGAUCAUUACAGAGUUGCAAAGCUCCCAAACCAUUGUGAACGUUACCUAUCCCGUUGCUUCGGCGGGCGGCCCGGGCCCCGCGCCCGGCGCCCCCCGGCCCCCCGUGGGCGCCCGCCGGAGGUAAACCAAACCCUUGAAUUGCAUGGCCUCUCUGAGUCUUCUGUACUGAAUAAGUCAAAACUUUCAACAACGGAUCUCUUGGCUCUU
rnacentral:misc_RNA from 1 species